rnacentral:rRNA from 1 species
GACGAACGCUGGCGGCGUGCCUAAUACAUGCAAGUCGAACGCAUUUUCUUUCACCGUAGCUUGCUACACCGAAAGAAAAUGAGUGGCGAACGGGUGAGUAACACGUGGGUAACCUGCCCAUCAGCGGGGGAUAACACUUGGAAACAGGUGCUAAUACCGCAUAAUUCCAUUUACCGCAUGGUAAAUGGAUGAAAGGCGCUUUUGCGUCACUGAUGGAUGGACCCGCGGUGCAUUAGCUAGUUGGUGGGGUAACGGCCUACCAAGGCUGCGAUGCAUAGCCGACCUGAGAGGGUGAUCGGCCACACUGGGACUGAGACACGGCCCAGACUCCUACGGGAGGCAGCAGUAGGGAAUCUUCGGCAAUGGACGCAAGUCUGACCGAGCAACGCCGCGUGGGUGAAGAAGGUUUUCGGAUCGUAAAACUCUGUUGUUAGAGAAGAACAAGGAUGAGAGUGGAAAGUUCAUCCCUUGACGGUAUCUAACCAGAAAGCCACGGCUAACUACGUG